CACGUAGGGGGCAAGCGUUGUCCGGAUUUAUUGGGCGUAAAGAGCUCGUAGGCGGUUUCGUAAGUCGGAUGUGAAAACUCCAGGCUCAACUUGGAGACGCCAUUCGAUACUGCGAUGACUUGAGUCCGGUAGGGGAGUGUGGAAUUCCUGGUGUAGCGGUGAGAUGCGCAGAUAUCAGGAGGAACACCGGCGGCGAAGGCGGCACUCUGGGCCGGUACUGACGCUGAGGAGCGAAAGCGUGGGUAGCAAACAGG
rnacentral:rRNA from 1 species